rnacentral:rRNA from 1 species
AUACGGAGGGUGCAAGCGUUACUCGGAAUUACUGGGCGUAAAGGACGCGUAGGCUGGUUUGCAAGUCAGGGGUGAAAGCCUACAGCUUAACUGUAGAACUGCUCUUGAAACUGCUUACCUAGAGUAUGGGAGAGGUGAAAGGAAUUAGUGGUGUAGGGGUAAAAUCCGUAGAGAUCACUAGGAAUACCGAUUGCGAAGGCGUUUCACUGGAACAUUACUGACGCUGAGGCGUGAAAGCGUGGGGAGCAAACAGGAUUAGAUACCCUAGUAGUCC